rnacentral:misc_RNA from 1 species
UUGAUUGGUCGAAAGACCUUAUCAGAUUCUACCACCUCUGUGAACCGUUGACCUCCGGGUUAAUAAUCAAACACCAGUUGUAACGAACGUAAGAGUAUCUUAAUUAAACA